UACAGAGGUCUCAAGCGUUGUUCGGAUUCAUUGGGCGUAAAGGGUGCGUAGGCGGCGCGGUAAGUCGGGUGUGAAAUCUCGGGGCUUAACUCCGAAACUGCAUUCGAUACUGCCGUGCUUGAGGACUGGAGAGGAGACUGGAAUUCCUGGUGUAGCGGUGAAAUGCGCAGAUAUCAGGAGGAACACCGGUGGCGAAGGCGGGUCUCUGGGCCGAUACUGACGCUGAGGAGCGAAAGCGUGGGGAGCAAACAGG
rnacentral:rRNA from 1 species